rnacentral:rRNA from 1 species
UACGUAGGGUGCAAGCGUUGUUCGGAAUUACUGGGCGUAAAGCGCGCGCAGGCGGAUCCUGUAAGUCGGAAGUGAAAUCUCACUGCUCAACGGUGAGACUGCUACUGAUACUGCGGAUCUGGAGACCGGUAGAGGCUGGUAGAAUUGCAGGUGUAGCGGUGGAAUGCGUAGAGAUCUGCAAGAAUACCCGUGGCGAAGGCGG